rnacentral:rRNA from 1 species
GACGGGUGAGUAAUGCCUAGGAAUCUGCCUGGUAGUGGGGGACAACGUUUCGAAAGGAACGCUAAUACCGCAUACGUCCUACGGGAGAAAGCAGGGGACCUUCGGGCCUUGCGCUAUCAGAUGAGCCUAGGUCGGAUUAGCUAGUUGGUGAGGUAAUGGCUCACCAAGGCGACGAUCCGUAACUGGUCUGAGAGGAUGAUCAGUCACACUGGAACUGAGACACGGUCCAGACUCCUACGGGAGGCAGCAGUGGGGAAUAUUGGACAAUGGGCGAAAGCCUGAUCCAGCCAUGCCGCGUGUGUGAAGAAGGUCUUCGGAUUGUAAAGCACUUUAAGUUGGGAGGAAGGGUUGUAGAUUAAUACUCUGCAAUUUUGACGUUACCGACAGAAUAAGCACCGGCUAACUCUGUGCCAGCAGCCGCGGUAAUACAGAGGG